rnacentral:rRNA from 1 species
GGUUUGAUUAUGGCUCAGAUUGAACGCUGGCGGGAUGCUUUACACAUGCAAGUCGAACGGCAGCACGGACUUCAGGUCUGGUGGCGAGUGGCGAGCGGGUGAGUAAUGUAUCGGAACGUGCCUAGUAGCGGGGGAUAACUACGCGAAAGCGUAGCCUAAUACCGCAUACGCCCUUCGGGGAAAGCGGGGACCUUCGGGCCUCGCACUAUUAAGAGCGGCCGAUAUCGGAUUAACUAGUUGGUGGGAGUAACGGCUCACCAAGGCGACGAUCCGUAGCUGGUUUGAAGGACGACCAGCCACACUGGGACUGAGACACGGCCCAGACUCCUACGAGGCAGCAGUGGGGAAUUUUGGACAAUGGGGGAAACCCUGAUCCAGCCAUCCCGCGUGUGCGAUGAAGGCCUUCGGGUUGUAAAGCACUUUUGGCAGGAAAGAAACGGCACGGGAUAAUACCCCGUGCAACUGACGGUACCUGCAGAAUAAGCACCGGCUAACUACGUGCCAGCCGCGGUAUGCGGCGUAGGGUGCAAGCGUUAAUCGGAAUUACUGGGCGUAAAGCGUGCGCAGGCGGUUGGAAGAAGAUCUUGAAAUCCCAGAGCUUAACUUUGGAACUGCAUUUUUAACUUACCGGAGCUAGAGUGUGUCAGAGGUGAAUUCCGCGUGUAGCAGUGGUCAUGAUAUGCGGAGGAACACCAGUGGCGAAGGCAGCUCCUGGUAAACACUGACGCUCAUGCACGAAACGAUGGGGAGCAAACAGGAUUAGAUACCCUGGUAGUCCGCCUAAACGAUGUCAACUAGCUGUUGGGGCCUUCGGGCCUUGGUAGCGCAGCUAACGCGUGAAGUUGACCGCCUGGGGAAGUACGGUCGCAGAUUAAAACUCAAAGGAAUUGACGGGGACCCGCACAAGCGGUGGAUGAUGUGGAUUAAUUCGAUGCAACGCGAAAAACCUUACCUACCCUUGACAUGUCUGGAAUCCGUGAAGAGAUUUGGGAGUGCUCGCAAGAGAACCGGAACACAGGUGCUGCAUGGCUGUCGUCAGCUCGUGUCGUGAGAUGUUGGGUUAAGUCCGCAACGAAGCGCAACCCUUGUGGUAGUUGCUACGAAAGGCACUCCUGACGGAAAUACAUUUGACCAAGCCGGAAGGUUGAGAUGCGGCGUCGAAUUCAUGAUUUUCUUAUGGGCGGGCUUCUGCAUCAUACAAUGGUCAGGACAGAGGGUCGCCAGCCGCGAGGAGCCAAUCCAGAAACCCGAUCGUAGUCUGGAUCACAGUCUGCAACUCGACUGCGUGGUCGUCGCUAGUAAUCGCGGAUCAGCAUGUCGCGGUGAAUACGUUCCCGGGUCUUGUACACACCGCCGUCACACCAUGGGUGGUUUUACCCAGAAGUAGUUAGCCUAACCGUAAGGAGGGCGAUUACGGUAGGAUUCAUGACUGGGGGUGAAGUCGUAACAAGGUAG